CCUACGGGUGGCAGCAGUGGGGAAUAUUGGGCAAUGGGCGCAAGCCUGACCCAGCAACGCCGCGUGAAGGAAGAAGGCUUUCGGGUUGUAAACUUCUUUUAAGAGGGAAGAGUAGAAGACGGUACCUGUCGAAUAAGACACGGCUAACUACGUGCCAGGAGCCGCAGUAAUACGUAGGUGGCAAGCGUUGUCCGGAUUUACUGGGUGUAAAGGGCGUGUAGCCGGGUUGACAAGUCAGAUGUGAAAUCCUGCGGCCUAACCGCAGAACUGCAGUUGAAACUGUUGCUCUUGAGUGGUGGAGAGGCAGGCGGAAUUCGUGGUGUAGCGGUGAAAUGCGUAGAUAUCACGCGGAACACCAGUGGCGAAGGCGGCAUGCUGGAGAGCAACUGACGGUGAGGCGCGAAAGCGUGGGGAGCGAACAGGAUUAGAUACCCGAGUAGUC
rnacentral:rRNA from 1 species